CUUGGUCAUUUAGAGGAAGUAAAAGUCGUAACAAGGUUUCCGUAGGUGAACCUGCGGAAGGAUCAUUAUCGUACAACCGAGGUGCAUGGGCUGUCGCUGACCUUCAAAGGUUGUGCGCGCCCAAGCGCUCUCACACAUCCAUCUCACCUUUGUGCAUCACCGCGUGGGUCCCCUUUGCAGGAGGGCUUGCGUUUUCACAUAAAACUUGAUACAGUGUAGAAUGUUUUAUUUGCGGUCACACGCAAUCAAUACAACUUUCAACAACGGAUCUCUUGGCUCUCGCAUCGAUGAAGAACGCAGCGAAAUGCGAUACGUAAUGUGAAUUGCAGAAUUCAGUGAAUCAUCGAAUCUUUGAACGCACCUUGCGCCCCUUGGUAUUCCGAGGGGCACACCCGUUUGAGUGUCGUGAAAAUCUCAACCUUCUCGGUUUCUUCUGAACACCGAAGGAGGCUUGGACUUUGGAGGCCUUUGCUGGUGUCUCUCACCAGCUCCUCUCAAAUGAAUUAGCGGGGUCCUCUUUGCCGAUCCUCGACAUGUGAUAAGAUGUUUCCAUGUCUUGGCUUUAUGGCUCUGUUGCCUUUGGGACCCGCUUCUAACCGUCUCAGCGAGACAACGUUCGAGCGUGUCUCCCCUCUCGGGGAAACACUCUUGAACCCACGAAACCUUGACCUCAAAUCGGGUGAGACUACCCGCUGAACUUAAGCAUAUCAAUAAGCGGAGGA
rnacentral:rRNA from 1 species